GACGAACGCUGGCGGCGUGCUUAACACAUGCAAGUCGAACGGAAAGGCCCUGCUUUUGUGGGGUGCUCGAGUGGCGAACGGGUGAGUAACACGUGAGUAACCUGCCCUUGACUUUGGGAUAACUUCAGGAAACUGGGGCUAAUACCGGAUAGGAGCUCCUGCUGCAUGGUGGGGGUUGGAAAGUUUCGGCGGUUGGGGAUGGACUCGCGGCUUAUCAGCUUGUUGGUGGGGUAGUGGCUUACCAAGGCUUUGACGGGUAGCCGGCCUGAGAGGGUGACCGGCAGUGGCGCAGUGGGGGUACGCUCCAGCCGCCGACGGUGGGCAGGGUGGGUGAAUAGUACCAAAGUGGGGAGAGCGUGAAACCGCAGCGCCGCGUGCGGUAUGGCGCCGUCGGGUAUGACAGCGUCUUGUGUCGUUAAGGGAGUGUGAGAUACGGUAAUGGAAAAAGAAGAACCGGCUACCGACGCCCCGGAGGCGGGGGUAUUAGGGAAGAUCCUACGUCUUCCC
rnacentral:rRNA from 1 species